AUGACAAGCUGCGUUUUCCUCCUGAUCAUUCUUCAAGGUGUCCAGUGUGAGGAGCAGCUGGUGGAGUCUGGGGGAGGCCUGGUGCAGCCUGGGGGGUCUCUGAGACUCUCCUGUGCAGCCUCUGGAUUCACCUUCAGUGAAUAUGAAAUGAAGUGGGUCCACCAGGCUCCGGGGAAGGGGCUGGAGUGGGUGUCAGCCAUUGAUGGUGAUGGUGGAGGUACAUACUAUGCCAACUCCGUGAAGGGCCACUUCACCAUCUCCAGAGACAACGCCAAGGACACGCUGUACCUGCAAAUGAACAGCCUGAGAGCCGAGGACACAGCUGUGUAUUACUGUGCAGGAGACACA